rnacentral:rRNA from 1 species
AUUGAACGCUGGCGGCAGGCCUAACACAUGCAAGUCGAACGAGUGGCGGACGGGUGAGUAAUGUCUGGGAAACUGCCUGAUGGAGGGGGAUAACUACUGGAAACGGUAGCUAAUACCGCAUACCAUCGGAUGUGCCCAGAUGGGAUUAGCUCGUAGGUGGGGUAAAGGCUCACCUAGGCGACGAUCCCUAGCUGGUCUGAGAGGAUGACCAGCGACACUGGAACUGAGGAACGGUCCAGACGCCUAUGGGAGGCAGCAGUGGGGAAGAGUGCACAAUGGGCGCAAGCCUGAUGCAGCCAUGCCGCGUGUAGGAAGAAGGCCUGCGGGUUGUAAAGUACUUUCAGCGGGGAGGCGUGACCCGCAGAAGAAGCACCGGCUAACUCCGUGCCAGCAGCCGCGGUAAUUC